GUGCACCGCCAAGGACAAAAGGAG
rnacentral:piRNA from 1 species